rnacentral:rRNA from 1 species
AGAGGGUGAAACUCCCGUCCGCCUGGUAGAAUGAGUCUUUGUCAACGAGUCGAGUUGUUUGGGAUUGCAGCUUCUAAUUUGGUUGGUAAAUUCCAUCUAAAGCUAAAUAAUUGGUGGGAGACCGAUAGCGUACAAGUACCGUGAGGGAAAGAUGCAAAGAACUUUUGAAAGAGAGUUAAAGAGUACCCUGAAAUUAGCCGAAACGGAAGGCGAAGGAAACCAGUGUUUGUUGGUUCAUAUUUCCUUGGCCACUUGUGGUUUGGGCGCUGUGAGCUUGCGUGGGUUUGGGUUGGUUGAUCCCUUUGGAAGAGCGCAGUCAGAGUUGAUGUCU